UCUACGACCCCCUACAAAUGUCUGCCUCACAUUUGUAGGGGGUCGUAGAGAACAGAUAGGAUAUGCAGGCCCAUAUCCUAACGCC